rnacentral:rRNA from 1 species
CAGUAGCCGCGGUAACACGUAGGGUGCGAGCGUUAAUCGGAAUUACUGGGCGUAAAGCGUGCGCAGGCGGUUCGUUAAGACAGAUGUGAAAUCCCCGGGCUUAACCUGGGAACUGCAUUUGUGACUGGCGAGCUAGAGUGUGGCAGAGGGGGGUAGAAUUCCACGUGUAGCAGUGAAAUGCGUAGAGAUGUGGAGGAAUACCGAUGGCGAAGGCAGCCCCCUGGGCCAAUACUGACGCUCAUGCACGAAAGCGUGGGGAGCAAACAGGAUUAGAUACCCCAGUAGUCCCUGUCUCUUAUAC